rnacentral:misc_RNA from 1 species
UCAUCGGCCAAGUAUUUCAGGAACAAUGGAUCUGCUUCCCAAGUACCUCAACGAGUUACAGGACUCGAACAAAAUGAAGAGGUGCGCAGCAUACAAGAAAAUACACGAGCUUGUCAAAGCGCAGAGGGGGAAUCUGUCAAAAGACGACGAGUUUUCAAUUAUUCGGUCAUGUCUGAAGGGAUUUGAGGACACCUCGGAGCGCUCACGAGAAGAGGCGGCGCGGAUAACGAUCGAGCUACUACCAGGCCAAGACGCGAGCAUUUUGGACUGGGUUCUUCCCUCAGUUGUCACACGCAUUGGGAUCGUGCCAGUUGCUGAAGAGAGCGAAGAGAUUAGGCUUCUUCUUCUUCGACUCGGGACGGCCUGCAUGACGUGCUUUCCGCAUGAUAUCGGACCGCGGAACUACAUUGACUUUUUUCUGGUACUGCUAGAGAACUGCUUUCGUGACCCUUUCCCAGAACUCAAGAAGGAAGCGUGCAAGGCAGCUUGCCAACUGUGCUCCAUCGAGCCCAAGCAAGUAAAGGUGAUUAGUACACCGCUGGCAAAAGUUCUGAAAGACUCGUGUCUUCUACACAAGCACAGCGCUGUACGGUGCGAGGCGGCCCAAACGCUGGCUGUUUUGUUUCGAUGCGGAGCCUCUGAGGCGCUGAGAGACGGAAAAGACGAGCCAGAAAACAAGGCAAUGGCGUCGGAGCUGUUUGUCCUCUGCAACGAUCACAGUGAGCCAGUUCGCCUAGCAGUCCUCUCAGUUUUGUCAUGCGCGUUGCUGGAUGUCAAGGAGCGGCUGGAGAUGCACGCAAAAUACCUACCACAUCUCCUGCUUCUUGUGACUGAUUCAUUUGAUGCUGUUCGCAACAUGGCGCGCAAAAUUUUGGAGCGAGUUGGGCAGCUUUAUAUGAUCGACAACGAGGACAACCGGAUCGAUAUGGCGAACAGGCGCGUCACUAUGAAGGAUAUUGAGUGGUACGGCGAUGACGAGUAUCCUUCCAUGAAGUUCACGGCACCGUCAGCACAGUAUUACGACCUCUUUCAGAGCCGCCCCAGCCUGGGCACUCGCUACGUCGUCGCCGAGUCUGUUCGGGCUUUCCUCGACAAGAUUCUAAGGGACAUCACCGCUGUCGACUGGAUGAUUCCUUUCUCCACGAAUAAUCGCAAGGUGGUGGCGCUGAAGUUGUUGUGGACAACCAUCUACUACUGUGAGAAGUCCUGCGUGCAGUUCACUGAGCGUAUCCUCAGCGCUGUGUACAAAGCGUUCGCUGACGAAAACGUCGAGGUCAAGCAGGAAGCGACAUUUUGUGUUGAGAUGAUGGGGAAGUUCCUGGUCCCUGAGCAGUACUUACCGUUUCUUAUCGCGAAGCCGGCCGCGAACGCUGACCCUUACGAGGAUGUGUCUGUUAUCGAAAAGUCGCGCAACAAGACUGUGGUGCUCACUUCUCUCGACGAUGCGUGCGGGCCGAUGCCGACGCUGUUUUCGACUGCAGCUGUGACAGUCAAGUGCUCAAUUCUUCAAACGCUGGCGUACCUUAUCGAGGGUUCGAAGGAGAAGCUGACACCGGCUCACUCUACCCGAAUUAUUCAAGCGCUGACGACAAGUGAUUUGAUCGAGUGCGAGAACGAGCAUCUACUGACUGCGCUUCUCGAGACUCUUCAGAAAGUCAUUCCAGUCUUUGUGGCUAAGGGCUUCAUCGCCUCCCCGGAGCAUCCUCUCCCCGACGAAGUGCUCCACGACCCAAAGCAGAGAACGCUGGAUUCUAUUAUUCUUUACUCUUUGCUGCGCAUCAAGAGCACUGAGAUGCCCGAGAUUCAGCUGAAGGCCGGCGAGGCAAUCACAACGUUGUCGACACUGGUGACGGAAUCAAUUACUGGUAUCUAUACCCUGCAUGCAGAGCGAUUACUGUUCCGCUACGGGGCGGCGCUUCCGGUCAGCGCUUUCAGUGACCUGGUACUGAAUGCGGACAGCAUUGACACACUCGGCGGAGUGCUCACAGACAUUUUCGAAUCACGACUGACGGACAUAAAUUUUGCAUUCAAAGUCACAGAGGAGCUGCGCUACUUUACUGUCCUGGAACAGCUUCUCUGGUGCAGAACAGGCGCCUUUGCACCAAGCGAAACCAGUGAACUUCUGCGCGCCAUUGUCCUCCCGUUGUCGGCCUUUCAACCGGGCAACACCGCUCACCUCUUCCGUAAAGUGGCUGUGAACUGCCUGUGCGCUCUCCUCGGCCCAGUGUACUGUGAUGCCCUACAGGCGGAGCUCGUGAAAAACAGCAACGCUUUAUCUACUACAGUCAUAAACGCCUGGUGUGCUGCUUCCGACGCCGACGACGGCGAAAUGCGACUUGUUUGCAUGUCGGUUCUUGGCGAGGUCUGCCGCUUGCCCAUGGUCAAAGGUGCAGCACAUGAGAUAAUUCAAUCCGUGCUUCUGCGCUUCGACGAUUCAAACGACGCCAUCCGCCUGCGUACUUCCAACGAGCUGACCCGACUUCUUGCCGACGACUGGGGCGCUUCACCGUUUAUAGUCGAUGAGGUAUCGGCACAGGUAGUGCCCCUCGCGAAGAAGAUGCUCGUCUACCUGGAUGACACGGAGGAGACGAUCGGCAUCCGGCCUUCUCUGGCAGAGGCCUUGAAAAGGUUGGGUGAUAUUUCGCCGCAUAUUGUUGUUGAUCUAACUCGGUCUGCGCUUGAGCGACACGCAGAGAGGGGUUACUGUCAAGACGUUCUAAACUACCUGGAAGCCAAGUACUAGGUGUCACAUGGUUCCUGUUUUCUCACGCUCAUUUGUGGAAUGUACAUAGGCUGAGGUUCUCGGUGCUUUAGUAACACGUUCAGAGAAAUCAGGAGGUUGCUCAUGUACCGCGCCCAUUUUUUUUUGUGUCUCGCUGCCUUCUGCUACGCGCAUUCACGACAUCGCUGCGAAGGCUUCGGUCUACAAGUGAUUGACACUAACGGAAGUGAUUGAUGCUUCUUUUUUCAUUGCCUGGUGUUCCUAUUCUUGCACCCGGAUGAAAGGUGUGCGCCUCGGCGCGUGGUACCCAAGACUCUGUACACGCCCUGUGUGGGGAAGAAGCCAGGCAGCCCCUAUCCCCUGCCAAUGCUGCACCGCACCUGGCGGUGGCAGGGUCAGGCGCCUACGACGUGGGGGAGGUCAGAGCGAUGCAUCGCUGCUGACGUGGGCGGCCAGGUCGUGGAUGGCGCUGCGUCGGAGCGACCCGCGACCGUGCACCGGGCUGCGCCAUCCAUGCUAUAUGGGCGGAGUGUCAGCGCGACUCGACCGCGACCCGCCCGGCCCUCACUGCCUCCUGGUGUGUGGCGCCUGCGCCACGCCGAGGGAUGCGCCGGGUGGCGGCCGGCAUAGUGGGGGCAGCUGUGGGGCUGCGUGCGCAGAAGAGGCUGGCAGAGGCUGAGGCAGGGCCCGUGCUGAGAUGGCUGCGCCGGCGCAUGACUGUGAUGCGUGUGUCUCUAGCGCUGCUUCGCACCACGCGAUGGGGGCCUGCGACGGGCCGGGGCUAGCGUGCCCCUUCCGCCCAUGCUGUGGAGGCGAAACGGACAUGUCGGAGCGAAAACAUACCUUUUCGUACACUCGUCGCUCAUACUGACCCUCUACAUCUGCAUAUUGUCUUGCACGUACACGUACACACACAUACACUCAG